rnacentral:tRNA from 5 species
CAGUUGGUAGAGCGCAACCUUGCCAAGGUUGAGGUCACGAGUUCGAACCUCGUGUGUCGCUCCA